rnacentral:rRNA from 1 species
GACAGAGGGUGCAAACGUUGUUCGGAAUUACUGGGCGUAAAGCGCAUGUAGGCGGCUCGGAAAGUCGGAUGUGAAAGCCCAGGGCUCAACCCUGGAAGUGCACUCGAAACUCCCGAGCUGGAGUCCCGGAGAGGAAGGCGGAAUUCUCGGUGUAGAGGUGAAAUUCGUAGAUAUCGAGAGGAACACCGGUGGCGAAGGCGGCCUUCUGGACAGUGACUGACGCUGAGACGCGAAAGCGUGGGGAGCAAACAGG